rnacentral:rRNA from 1 species
GACGAACGCUGGCGGCGUGCUUAACACAUGCAAGUCGAACGGUAAGGCCCUUCGGGGUACACGAGUGGCGAACGGGUGAGUAACACGUGGGUGAUCUGCCCUGCACUUCGGGAUAAGCCUGGGAAACUGGGUCUAAUACCGGAUAGGACCACUGCCUGCAUGGGUGGUGGUGGAAAGCUUUUGCGGUGUGGGAUGGGCCCGCGGCCUAUCAGCUUGUUGGUGGGGUGAUGGCCUACCAAGGCGACGACGGGUAGCCGGCCUGAGAGGGUGACCGGCCACACUGGGACUGAGAUACGGCCCAGACUCCUACGGGAGGCAGCAGUGGGGAAUAUUGCACAACGGGCGCAAGCCUGAUGCAGCGACGCCGCGUGAGGGAUGACGGCCUUCGGGUUGUAAACCUCUUUCAGCACCGACGAAGCGCAAGUGACGGUAGGUGCAGAAGAAGGACCGGCCAACUACGUGCCAGCCGCCGCGGUAAGAC